GACCAGCAUCGCGGGGAACUCCACUUUCAGGGCCUGGGACUCUCGGAAGGUGUAGAAGCAAAACUCCAGCAAGUCGCUCACCAGCUGCAACACAGACGGAGGACACAGUGUGAGGACACGGCGUGAGGGCCUCAGUUUCAUCCUGCCCUGGACCCCUCUGUAUCCUAACUGACGUGAACCCAGAGAGCAACACGCCGGAAUCCUGACGGGAAACCAAAUUACAGUGUUAUCAAGCUGGGGCUGUGGGGGAUGGAGGUUGUUCCUAUCACCUGUAACACAGUCGCCUUUCGUGCAGGAUAAAUUCAGCUGAGACGGGUACCUAGGUGUCAAGCAGCGAACGCAUCUGAGGCGGCAGUGCGAACACUGACUAGGACGUCAUGUUGGCUGAGGCUGGGACCCAGGACAUCAGAAGUAAAGCUAGCCUGGACACGGCUUUCCACACACAGUGCCACCAGAGCGGCAGCUGUGCCCCCUGCUGGACGUGAUGCCUCUUCAGUCAAAAUAGCAGAGCCCCGUACCCUGUCUCAGUGCCCCCGGACCAGUCUCGCCCUCACACUCCUACAGGUCUUCCAUGGCUGUGAAUGAGGACCUUGUUUGCCUUUAGGAAUUUUUACACUAGCAAGAAGAGAACAGUGUGCUUCCCUCCACCAAAUAUGACCCAAGCACAGCUCCUUCAGCGCAGCUCUGGAAGGGAGACGUGGUACACAGCUGCAGCACGGAGAUGCCGUAGAGCGGGGAGCUAAGCACACAGCAGCUCCAUCCUUCCCUCCUGAGAUCAACCUCAGACAAAGAGCAGUUUCACUUGCAGGUCCCCAGCAGACUCUGAGCUCUCACUGCUGCUCUGCCCGGAGUGGGGGAAAAAACCCAUGUUGUGUAUCCUCCUGCACCAAGGACAAAGAUGCAGGGAGCUACCUGGAGGACCUUCCUCCCUGGGAUCCUGUGCAGGGUCUGGACAGCUGCCUUCCAGCUGCGCCUGCCCAGCCGGGAGAAGCAGCCAGAUGGCCUGGCCCUGCCUGUGCACUCUGGACCUGGAUUCUGAGAGGCUCAGCUCGGUAAGGUCCUGGCCCUAAGAAUCAUUUAGUACCAGGCCAUUCUUAGCCUACUAAGGCCCUGCCUGGCCACCCUCAGUUCAGGGAAAUGACGUGAUGGUGGACCUCCCUGAGGUCAGCAACUGGAGGCCACUCAAGCCCACCAAGUGGUGACUAACGGGGACCCCACACACUGCAUCCCAGCUGACAGCUGAGUCCCACGAUUCCUGCAGUGUGGGUCACCGAGACAGUGCUGGUUAUGACUGAAGACGCUUCACUGACCCACAGAUCCAGAAAGUCCAAUACAGGAAUGCAAGAAUCAUGAAAAGACAGGGCAAGUUGAUAAUGCUAAAGGAACAAGAGCAUCCAGCAACAGAUCCUGAGAAAAGGAAGUUGAUGAACUGCACAAAGCAGAAUUCAAAUGAUCUUAUGGAAAUGAGAUACAAAGCAAUAUAGACAGACGAUUCAGUGCACUCUGGGAAGCUGAGGCAGGAAGAUCGUAUGUUUAUGCGCAGGUACACAACUCAAUGAGACCCUAUCUCAGGGCCUAGUGUGUAGAACAUAUAAAGAACUCAAAACAAUUAAAUCCCCCCAAUGAAAAGCCAAUCAAAAGUGGGCAUGUGAAAUGAACAGACACUGCUUAGAAGUACACAUCACUAACAAAUACAUGAAAAAAUGUUCAGAAUUGUUGGCCACCUGAGAGAUGCAACUGAGAACAACAGUGAGAUUCCAUCUUAUUCCAGAAAGAGUGACUGUCAUCACUGAAUGAAGUAAUAACAAAUGUGAGGCUUCAAGGAAAAAGAACACUUCAUCACUGAGUGCGUAAGCUAAGACAUUCAGUAUGGAGCUUCCUCAAAAAAAAAAAAAAAA